ensembl:lncRNA
GAAUUUAUAUGACCGUUAAUGGGGACUGUAAAUUGCUGUCAAUGGGGAUAACUCGCUCCAUGGGUUUUUGGAGAGGUGGAGGGAGGGAGCGGGCAGGAAGACGGGAAGGUGCCCCACGAUGGACAUGAAGAGCUGUACAACAGCUUUAAGGCACCGCUGUCUGCUGGCAUAUAGUAGAUAAUAAAAAUUUGUUUUAAUUUAGCACAUAAGGAUAUGAUGUCAAAAUAAAAGGUCUCAAGAACAAGUAAGGAACAUAAAAAAGUCAUAGCCCAUGCUGUGAGCAUCAGCUGCACGUCAUAAAGAUACAUUAAUGGUGUAUUUCUUUAAAAGAAAUUUUCGUAGUUGGGAGUUUUAUGAGAAAUAAGUUUAAAAUAUUAAAAGUGGAAGUUUUAUGAUUGGAGGGGGAAAAGCUUCAGUUGAAGGCGAUGGGAACAGAAGGAGCACAGAAGUGCAGUGCUGGGCACACUGGUGCAGCCAGCUGUGGCUCUGCCCCAUGGGGACCCUUCCACUGUGCAGUGCCCCCACAGAUGCCAGUGGGAGACUUGUUUUAGUGGGAACAGAAUCAGGCCCCAGAGGUCAGAGCUACGGACACGACCCAAAGUCUUCUUGUAAAACAACAGGAAAGCAAAGCUGCUGAAAACAAACCCACGUGUGUGCCAACAGACAAAAAUAAAAUCAAUGGAGCAAUGCUUUGCUGUCAGACACGGGUUACAGAGAAAAGCAAUUAAUCUAGGGGUUGAGUUGGAGUGUUGGUUCGUCCUCUCUGGUUCCGGGCUAGGAGUGACUAUUGCAACAUCCUGCAUGGAAUCACAUCCAGCAGGAGGCUGUGUCCAGCAGGACCACGCUUGGUGGGAUCCUCACUAGGAGAGAGCUCACAGCAGCUUUGCUGCUAUGGAUCACCUUGUGUUACCUCUGUUGGGGAAGCCUGUGGCUCGUGUCUGUAGGGAAGCUCCCAAGGAGUGUCCCAGGAAGAGCUCAGGGUGUCAGUGCAUCUCUGUAGAGCUGGUGGUUUCCAGGCACAGAAUAAAGACACAGGCACAAGAAUAAUAUUGAAACAGAUGAGAUCAUUUCUAUCGAUGUCAAGCAGCUGCUGGUGGUGAUCACCCAUAGGGACUGUUUUACCGUAGAUUUACAUCCAGGGGUCUUCAGCUGAGACAAAGCACUGUUUCUUCUGUUUGCAGUAAUCUGUGCAGAGUGGUGUGAUCUGAAGGAGAUGGACUCAAUGGUCCUUAUGGAUCCCUUCCAAUACAGGAUAUUCUAUGAUCCUAAAAGGAUGGGAGAUGCUUGCUUGGGUCAAGGUGUGCACCUUGCCCUUGCAGAUAGGUUGCUCUCCUCCAGCCCCAACUGAGUGCAAAGGAUCACACGAAGAGUUUCACCAAACAGCUGGCUGCCAGCAGGCCCUUAGGCUUGAAAUUACACCUCUGGAGCAACAAGGAUUAAAGCUUCAUCCAAACCUGUUGCCAUCACAUAGACUUUUUUUUCCCCUCCAGAAUAUUAAGACAAAUACGCAGUGCCUUGGACACUAUAAAUAUUAAUGCAGAGUACAUUACGUGUGUGUAGUGUAAAUAUUCAUGAUGAAUGAAUAUUAAUGCCUUACAUCUGAAUGAUCUCCCAGGGCACUCACAGGGCGCAUCAGCCAACAAGUGAUCCUUCCCUCCCUGGUCCCAGUUGUCCACAAGGAGCAAUGGUGAGCACUGCUCUAGUGAACUUUUUCCAAGGAACAUCCUUAAAACAGAAUGAAACAAUCCCAAAUCCUGGUCCCUGUCUCACAAACCCCUGUCAGAGUACCUGGAGAACACUCUACGAACCGAAUCGUGCAUGAUGCUGGGGAUGGCGGUGCUCUUGAAACAAGGCUGCCACCGUCAGACUGCUCGGAGCCCUGUGUGGUCCAUUAUAUUUUAUGCUGGUUUCCUAAACAUUCACAGUUAAAUAAACGAUGAUAACACUUCAUAAACAUUUUUCUAACAUGCGGAAUGUUUGACAUGAAUUUCAGCUAUUUUAAAACUAAUAAACAAUUGUCAAUCGGAUGUUGGAGACUAAGCAGAAGCCACAGCCAUUCUUAUGGAACAUCAAAGGCAUAAUAAAUAUCUUAUUUUUUCAAGCAAAGCUUUUGUACUUUUGCGUAGGAACCUCUGUCAGAGAGCAGAGGGCUGAGCACUGGGGCUGUGUGUUGCUGUCUGCUGUGCUCAGGGUUGUGAUGGAGAAAUAUGAGGCGUCACACUUCGGUUGAUCGGUCUGAGCUUCAGAAAUCUCCCAGCAUUUGGGAAAAAAACAGAUGAGCAGCCAUCAGGCUCCCUCUCCACUAGCUGCAAAUGCACUUUUGCAAGUGCAAAGGUGCUUUGUGAAGCUGCUUUCUGCCUCCCAGGCUCCUCCAUCCACCCAGCAUCAUCCAGCAUCACACUUGGGGGGGAAUGGAGGGAAAGUGUGGGUUUUGCAUCACCACGGAGCCCUGCUGCAAUGGCUGAGAGCACAGGCAGGGCUUCCUCAGUGCUGGCUCUGCCCUUUGGUUGUGCCCUGCUGGGUGGGGAAAGCAGCCAGCACACAACAUAAGUCAGCAGCAAUAGAACAUCACCGGAACACCUUUUUUUUUUCUGAUGAGUGCCCUGGAUUGGAAAAAAGGAUAAGAAGGAGCAGAUUUAGAGUAACAGCUCAUUUAACAAGAGAUGGUCUGUCUCCUUUAAUCUAUUGCUGGUCAUGUCCCAACCAGCUAAAGGUUUCCCAAUAGCAAGAGCUGGUGAGCAUUGGCGAGGAAGCUGCGGCCACCCAAGAUCCUUCUGUGUGCUGGGAGGACAAGAAGGAGCCCCCAGGAGCAGAGCAAUCAGGUCCUGGCUCCUCUCUGCCCUGCCUGAAGGCUGCGAUGCCCAAUAGGAUGGAAGUGGUCCCAUGGAUGGAGGCCGCAAUGCCCAAUGGGAUGAUAGUAGUCCCCACAGUUGGGAUGGGGAAUGGUGGCUGUGUGGGAGGACGGCUGGGAUUGCAGUGAUGCUUGGUAGAACUGGAAGGUUUUGGAACUAAUACCUUCUGCAGGCUGUCAGCUGUGAUGCCCAGGGAAAACAUAUAGAGAAGGUGUUACUUUGCCCUGCUCUGCAAAACCCUCUCUAAAUUCACACUUUUCCCAGUGCCAUCCGUGCAGAUGCCACGCGCCGCUGCUGGGGCUGGGUCGUGCCCCUUGUGCUGCAGGAUUCCAGCUCUACCCCUUGUGCCAGCAUCGCAUCUUUCCCCUCUGCACCGCAGGAGUGUUUUCUGCUGCUGCUCCCACCGGGAUUUUCCCAGUGGCAGGAAGAGGCUGGUGAGCCCCACGGAGCCAGUCUGGCUGCUCCGGGCCCAGGCGGGCGCUGGGGCAGAUAAGUAAACACUCGCGGCUCUGACAUAAAUUACUUCAGUCCUUGACAGCAGGACACUGACCAGGGUCGCCUGAUAAGAGAGGGAAAGCCUUGCAUGUCUCUCAGUCCCACUCAGAUAUUUCACAAUAAAUGUCACUGGGAAAGAAUAGACACUUCUGUACCCAUUAGGCAGCUGCAUGUUCCUGUCACCUUGAGAAGGAGGGACGCAUUGUCAGAGCUGUCGGAGCAGGCAGGAACCAGCUGUUAAUCUGCUCUAACAUCCUUUUUCACAG